GGAGGUAUAGCUCAGUGUUAGAGCAUUUAACUGCAGAUCAAAAGGUCCUCUGUUCAAAUCUGCGUGCUCCCU
rnacentral:tRNA from 1 species